rnacentral:rRNA from 1 species
AGAGAGAGACAUGCGCGCAUAUCAAUAAGCGGAGGAAAAGAAACUAACAAGGAUUCCCUUAGUAACGGCGAGUGAAGCGGGAAGAGCUCAAAUUUGAAAUCUUCAAGGUUCUACCUUGACGAAUUGUAGUUUAUAGAAGUGUUUUCUGUUAGUGGAGUGGCAAAAGUUCUUUGGAAUAGGACAUCAUAGAGGGUGAGAAUCCCGUAUUUGGUCAUUCCUCCUAGCGUUGUGAUACACUUUCAACGAGUCGGAUUGUUUGGGAAUGCAGUCCAAAAUGGGUGGUAAAUUUCAUCUAAAGCUAAAUAUUGGCGAGAGACCGAUAGCGAACAAGUACCGUGAGGGAAAGAUGAAAAGAACUUUGAAAAGAGAGUUAAACAGUACGUGAAAUUGUCAAAAGGGAAGCGUUUGACACCAGUGUUGUUUUUCCGAAAAUCAAUUACGAAUGUUUUAGUUUUUGAGGAGUUAUGACUUCAUCGGCUUGCUCCUUUCUUUAUGAAACUUUCUUAAUGCACUUUUCGGUUAACAAGUCAACAUCAAUUUCUUUUGUUGUAAAAGGGUAUGAGGAAGGUGGCUUUCUUUUCGGAGAAAGUGUUUAUAGCCUUGUGCCUCUGCAAUCGGAGAGAUUGAGGUCUGCAGCGUAGAUCCUUCGGGGUUAGAUACGUUUGUGCUAAGUUAUAGCUUUUCAUAGACAACUUGUUGACUAUGUUUAGUCUUGUAGCUUACUCGCUGAUGCUAUUUUACCUACGCUUAGGAUGUUGAUAGUCACAGCGUGUAC